rnacentral:lncRNA from 1 species
UUAUUCUUAAAAAAACAUUUCUAUUUCAUUUUUUAAAGAGGAAAGCAGAGGGGAAGGGGUUCUCUGCUAGGGUUUCGACCCUAGCACCCUCAUGCCGCCGCCGUCGUGCCCACCGUGAAGCCAUCGCGAAUGGCGCCCGAAACCAGGUAAAUCGCUUUUUUCCUUUUUAUUAUUAUUUUUUAAAAAAGUAUGAAACAAAGAUAAAAAAAAACAAAAGAAGAAAACUCGAAGAAAAAAGGAAAAAAAAACCUUCAAAUUGCUCUUUGAUUCUCUUUUUUUUAAAUAGUUUUUGAUAUAAUAUUCGUAACCCAUUUUACAGAUUUAAUUUGGCUUUAUAUAGCCAAAAUAACGUAAAAAAGAAACUCUCGAAAACUCUUUUUUCAUUUUUGUCGUAAUUUCUGCUAUUAUUUGCUGUUCGUGAUUUGUGGUUUGUUACAGGUGCACUAGAGGAGACGUGCGUGGCGUGCGUGGAGGGCGAUAACCGCUGGCACACACGCGCGAAAAGGCCUGGUGGUUGCGGCGCUGGCUGGGGUUGAAUGCUAUUAGGGUUUGGUUUUAUUUUUUGGUGAAAUAAGCUUAGGGUUAGUGGUUUAGGUCUUUAUAACUAUUGGGCUAGGUAUCGGGCCUCUGUAACUGGGUUUGGGAUUAGGUUGAUAUGUUGAGCUAAAAUUUUGUAAUUUGGAUUGCGUUUGGACUUUACAUUUUUUUGGUAUUUAAUUUUAUUUAUUUAGUUUUUGUAAGGGGGCAAAAAAUUGGGUAUCACACACAUAAGUUCAUAUGAUAUUUAUUUACUUAGGUUAUUAUGUAUUUGAUUUAUAUACGCAUGCUUGAUUGUGGAUUACUUAGUUAUAAAUUGGUAUGAAAGGCUAGAAUUGGACUAUUGGUUUAGAAACGUUAUGAAUUUAAUUAUACUUAAAUUGCGUCUUCCAUUUUGGCCAAUUUAUUUCAUGUUUAUAAUUCUCAACAAAUUGUUUUUAAGAUCCUCAUUUUUUUUUCAUUAUUUCAAUAAAAAAUUGCAUGUAAAAUCGUUGUCGACAACUUUCUAUUUUCAUGGUUCUAUAUUUUCACAUAUUAACAUAACUUAUUGUAUUCUCUUUAUUUUCAUUAUUUCUAUAUUUAGGUAUUUG